rnacentral:rRNA from 1 species
CAGUCAUGACGUUUUGACGACUGCUGCGACAACUUCCCUUGAAACGGGGGGCUAAUACCGGAUGGUUGUUUGAACCGCAUGGUUCAAACAUAAAAGGUGGCUUCGGCUACCACUUACAGAUGGACCCGCGGCGCAUUAGCUAGUUGGUGAGGUAAUGGCUCACCAAGGCAACGAUGCGUAGCCGACCUGAGAGGGUGAUCGGCCACACUGGGACUGAGACACGGCCCAGACUCCUACGGGAGGCAGCAGUAGGGAAUCUUCCGCAAUGGACGAAAGUCUGACGGAGCAACGCCGCGUGAGUGAUGAAGGUUUUCGGAUCGUAAAGCUCUGUUGUUAGGGAAGAACAAGUACCGUUCGAAUAGGGCGGUACCUUGACGGUACCUAACCAGAAAGCCACGGCUAACUACGUGCCAGCAGCCGCGGUAAUACGUAGGUGGCAAGCGUUGUCCGGAAUUAUUGGGCGUAAAGGGCUCGCAGGCGGUUUCUUAAGUCUGAUGUGAAAGCCCCCGGCUCAACCGGGGAGGGUUGUUGGAAACUGGGGAACUUGAGUGCAGAAGAGGAGAGUGGAAUUCCACGUGUAGCGGUGAAAUGCGUAGAGAUGUGGAGGAACACCAGUGGCGAAGGCGACUCUCUGGUCUGUAACUGACGCUGAGGAGCGAAAGCGUGGGGAGCGAACAGGAUUAGAUACCCUGGUAGUCCACGCCGUAAACGAUGAGUGCUAAGUGUGAGGGGGUUUCCGCCCCUUAGUGCUGCAGCUAACGCAUUAAGCACUCUGCCUGGGGGAGUAUGGUCGCAAGACUGAAACUCAAAGUGAAUUGACGGGGGCCCGCAUAAUCGGUGGAGCAUGUGGUUUAAUUCGAAGCAACGCGAAUGACCUUACCAGGUCUUGACAUCCUCUGACAAAUCUAAGAUAGGACUUCUACGUCGGGGGCAGAGUGACAAGUGGUGCAUGGUUGUCGUCACUCCUGUCUGAAAGUUGG